rnacentral:tRNA from 1 species
GUUUUUAUAGUUGAAUAACAACGUGGAUUUUUCGUGUCCUUGGUUUUGGAUAGUCCAAAUAAAAAUA